rnacentral:rRNA from 1 species
AUUGAACGCUGGCGGCAUGCCUUACACAUGCAAGUCGAACGGCAGCACGGGAGCAAUCCUGGUGGCGAGUGGCGAACGGGUGAGUAAAGUAUCGGAACGUGCCCAGUCGUGGGGGAUAACGUAGCGAAAGUUACGCUAAUACCGCAUACGAUCUAUGGAUGAAAGCGGGGGAUCGCAAGACCUCGCGCGAUUGGAGCGGCCGAUAUCAGAUUAGGUAGUUGGUGGGGUAAAGGCUCACCAAGCCGACGAUCUGUAGCUGGUCUGAGAGGACGACCAGCCACACUGGGACUGAGACACGGCCCAGACUCCUACGGGAGGCAGCAGUGGGGAAUUUUGGACAAUGGGCGAAAGCCUGAUCCAGCCAUGCCGCGUGCAGGAUGAAGGCCUUCGGGUCGUAAACUGCUUUUGUACGGAACGAAAAGGUUUGGCCUAAUAAGCUGAGCUCAUGACGGUACCGUAAGAAUAAGCACCGGCUAACUACGUGCCGGCCGCCGCGGUAA